CCCUUAGAUGUUCUGGGCCGCACGCGCGCUACACUGACGAAUGCAACGAGCUUAUAACCUUGGCCGAAAGGUCUGGGUAAUCUCCAGAUUUCGUCGUGAUGGGGAUAGAUUAUUGCAAUUAUUAAUCUUCAACGAGGAAUGCCUAGUAAGCGCAAGUCAUCAGCUUGCGUUGAUUACGUCCCUGCCCUUUGUACACACCGCCCGUCGCUCCUACCGAUUGAAUGGUCCGGUGAAGCGUUCGGACCGUGGCCUUUGGACGGUUCGCCGUCUGUUGGCUGCGGGAAGUUCGUUAAACCUUAUCAUUUAGAGGAAGGAGAANUCGUAACA
rnacentral:rRNA from 1 species